ACACACACACACACACACACACACACACACACACACACACACACACACACACACACACACACACACACACACACACACACACACACACACACACACACACACACACACACACACACACACACACACACACCCAAAUCCCAUUGUCAUAGAGUAACAAAUAUAGAAGGUGUCCUCUGAUGAAACUGAUGUGUUUGUAAUGACAGUGAAUAUACUGUAACUGUGUUCUCUGUAGGCACCAACAUUGUGGACUUGCGUUCUCUAGAGGGAGAGGUGAUCCCCCUCAGGAACCUCAUUCACAUCUCCAACAGCAUAAAGGUAUGGCUGGGGGAGUCUGUUGAGAUGAAGGAAACUGAAGCAGCUGCUAUAUGAGUGUGUCUGCCAGGAGGAUAGGAUAGGUGGACCCGUCCUGCUACCCAUCUCAGAUCCUGCGCAGAGCAGAUCCAGUUCACUGAGGAGGCGGAGCUAUUUACUCAGCUAGAGCACCACACCUCCAUAGACACCAGCUCUGAGGUGAU
rnacentral:lncRNA from 1 species